AAUUAAAAUGUCUUUAUCUGUUGUAGAAAAAUAAGAGAUUUUAAGAUGUAGAAUUUAAAAUGUAUUUUCAUGUCAAAAAUCUCAAUUAUCUCAAGCAUAUUUCCAAACACCUUAAGUCCUUUAAAUUAUCAAGCAUUAAGUUAGUGAAUGGCAAAAUAAAGCGGGUAUCUUAAGCAACUCUUAGCCUUUGUCUCAGUUUCAUAAUGUAUAAAACAGGAAAAACUACAAGGAUGGGUAGUUAAUUAAAUUAGUCAGGAUUAAAUGCUAGCUAGCUGCUUUGAAGUUAGUUUAUGUUGUUCUCAGUUCUCCUCCUACUCAGUAAAAUGAAUAGAUGAGAAAACAUCUGGAAUUACUGCAGGGAAUAGUAUCUGCAGACUCUCAGCCGUGAAAAGAUGGUCUCUACAAUUUCUAAGCCAAAGUUCACUCACCAAUCCCUACACAUUUCAAGAUAUCACUACAUUGCACAACUUUUUAGGUGAACUCCCUUUCAGCCUCACACCUACAUUCCAAAACAGACUACUACACCGAAAUCUCAGAGCAUCUUGAGAGGUCUUGCCACAAGGCAAGUGUAGGUAAGAUGAACAAGCUGCUACUGUUGUUCAUGCUGUUCUCGGCAUGCUACACUGUCAGUCAAGGGAAGCUUCAUCAACAAGCACACCCUCCAAAAAGUACCGGCCCCCACUGAGAAUCUAUCAAAGCACUUCCUGAUAAGCCAUCUGUCCAGGAAAGCUCUACUCAACACCUAAAAUGCAGUUGCUCUCCAUCUGAGAGGACCUGGAUAGAUAUGAAACACUAAAGCAGACUGCUCAGUAUGCAAGCUCCACUUUAAACACUGAGAAACCACCUACUAGAACCAUCCCAGUGCGCAGGCUGAACACAAACCUCUAUGGUACAUAGUUAGGAAACUGAGCUUAAUCAAAGACAACUUUAUUUUUUUUUCCAGAGAAGGAAAAAAAAUCUAUAAAAAAAAAACAAGGCUCAAAGAAGAGGAAAUGAUCAAAAAGAAAAAAAAAAGCAGAUUAAGGAGAAACGAGCGUGUAAAUUAUUCCUGAUGGAAGUGGGACUCAAUUAAAUUUUAAAACCGGAAUUUAAAUUACUCGCUGAGCCACAAACACUAUGAAAGCAUGAGUAUUUUUAAAUCUAUUCUAAAGGACCCAAAGCCAAUCUUUUCUUUUCCAAUUGAGAAGGAAAUUGCAUAAAUUUCAAUGAGGACAAAGUAGGAUGGCAUAAGCCUAAGGCUGAUGAUGUAAAAGCAAAGAAUGAUGAGAAGGAAUUAUUUUUGAAGAUAAAUGAAUAACCAAAAAACAAAUGAAAGAACUAUAAUUCCUACCUCACGCUUUUCCUCUCUUCUGCUUAGCCCAUGAGAUGAAUUCUUAAUAUACUAAUAUGCUACUAGGGAAAGAACCACUGAUCACCAGAACAGCAUGGUAGCCUCAGGCCCUAGACAGAAUGAAGCCUCUUCAAACACACACAGAGCACAUUUGAAGGCCCAAGUCUCUCACAUCUAUUGCUAAUUAUUCUGAUUAUGGGAACAGGCUGAGGCUGCUUAAAGGUUGGGGAAUAGGG